GUGUGUGUAUGUGUGCCUGUGUGUGUGCGUGUGUGUGUGUGCCCGUCUGUGUGUGUGUGUAUGUGUCUGUAGAGCGGCUCACUGCUUGCAAUUAGUCUGUCAGGCACGGGGCUGUUGGCUCUGUGUAUCUGUCGGUACUCUGCCUGUUAACGGUGAAAUCCCACUCACUCCCAGCCAAAAGAAAAGCCGACCUCCAGCGGAUAGCAACAACAAGGACAUUGGUGAAAUCACCCAGAGAAGACGUUGGAAGGAAUUUCAGAAGUUGAUGAACGCUGGAGUUGAAGUAACAAAGCUGUGGUACCUGCAACAAAAUAACUGCAUCCCUGCCAAAGCUUGUGAAGCCAACCCAGACUUUCACAUUACAGAAAGAGCAUCUAUAUUUGACAAGAUGCCAAGACUUUGCUCUUACAAUUGGUGGUGGUGGGGUGGGGGCGAAGGAGAGGGGUGGUAUGUUCACUGAUGAUUAAGUUUCUGAGGUUUCUCCAGCACGCCGACAGUCAGUGUUCCAACAAACAAAUGUUCAAUGUCAGAAUAUGGGAGCUUUAGAAAUGCAAGGCAUCCUGAGUCAGAUGGAUCAUUCAACUGGGUGAGGAUGCGUCUGUUCCACUUGGUCUGAAGAGGUGGAGACUCCUGAGGGUAACGAUACAAAUAACCAAUGGAGGAAGUGCCAGGGAGGAGCAUUGGAUGUCAUGUGUUGAAGUCUCCUGGAAUACAUCCAAUCAGAGUUGGCCGCCUCAUCUGAAUCCAUUGUACAUAAUCAAAUGUAAAGCAGUAAUUUGCCUUGCUCAAUAACUAUUUUCAAAGCAUUUCCUUUAAUAAAGUCUCUGU